rnacentral:lncRNA from 1 species
CUCUGUGUUGCUAUUAAUUGUUACAUUCCUGAACCCCCUCCAGAAGCACACCAGGGUCAAGUCUACCGUACUCCGUGCCCCUUCAGUGUCUAGCGCAAUGCUUGCCACGUAAGCAUCAUUGCUACAGCUAUCUUUUCCUCUCGUUUUUGUGGAGAAAUAAUCGACACACACCACUGUAUACAUUUAAGGCAUCCAGUGUCAGGGUUUGAUUUACAUUUAGUUAUUUUAAGAAGCACUUACCCCAAUCCUGAAGUGGGUGCUCCUUUCUUCCUCAUUUGGGGAUGGGAAAAUAAGGUUCAGAGAGGUUGAGAAGCCCAGCUAAGAUCGCACGGCUGGAGGUGGCCCAGCUGGGAUCUGACCCCUCCGAGGGCUGUCUUAUGAACUGUGUCAGCCUCCCUCUGUCAUACUGAGCAAGUGUUUGUUGAAUGACUGGCAGGGUUGACGUGCAGUGAUGGGUGGAUGCGUUUGAACAGCUGGCCUGUGCCAGCUACAGCUGUUUAUCAGGGACCCGAAGAGAGAAGGUAAUCCCAUCUGGGGGUUGGGGUCAGGCGUGGAGAUCUACCAGAGAUUUAGAUGUUCUGGUGGGGUCCAGAGCCACCCAGGGGUGUUUGCAGCCUUCAAAUGACAUAGCAGAAUCUGGUUUCCAAGGCAGAGGGUUCUCCAAGCCCUUACCGUGAUGGGAAGCACCUUUUUCAGGGAUAGCUGGCAAGAUUAUGCAGCUGACAAGUCCUCGUCUCAGCAGCCUGGUUCAAGAGCCCAUGUCUUAGUCACUGUUCAGUGUGUCGCCCCGUCUAAGCGCUCUUACUGGCCACCUGAUUCCUGCAAUGCCUCUUCUUGUUGCCCCUUGGGCCUCAUCUAUUACCCCACACCCCUUGGUCUCUCUGCUCCAUCCAGCCACACUAGCCUCCUUGCUGCUCUCUGAGCAUGCUGAGUGCACGCUCACCCCAGGACCUUUGCACAUGCUUCUCCAGUGUUCAGAAUGCUCUGUGUCACCCAGGUGGUUUGCCUGACUUGCCUCCCCUCCUUCAGGCCUUUGCUGAAGUGUUGUCUUCUCAAGGAGGCUUACCCAGAUCAUCUUUUUAAAAAUUCAAACCCCACUUCUCAGUAGUCUCUAGCCGCCCCCUGCUUAAUUUUUCCACAGCACUUACCAGCAUCUGUCAUUCUCUUUAUUUUACUUAUUAAUUGGUUGAUUAUCUGUCUCCCUCGACUAGAAUAUAAAUCCCAUGAAGACAAGAGAUUUUGGUCCGUCUUGUUCAUGGCUGUGUCUCUAUGCCUAGAACAGUGCCUGGCACAGAGUUAGUGUUUUGUNNNNNNNNNNNNNNNNNNNNNNNNNNNNNUGCUUGAAUCCAGGAUCUCUCCAUCAUCGUAUCUUUGAUGAGCAGGUCCAAAGACAGAUCCCGUGGUACACCAUCAGAGACCUCCUGCAGGCUGACAUUGAUUCAUUUAUCAGCAUCCCUCAAAUUGGGUCACGUGACAGAUUAUGAAUCUAGUUAACCAUCCAGUCUCUCAGCCCUGACACAUAAGCUCCCAGAGGAAAGAAGGUGGGUCCAAUUUGUUUGAUUUUAUGAGCAAAAUACAUUUAAUACUCUGCUUUGUACACUGUAAUAUUUAAUACAUAUUUGCUGAAAAAACAAAAACAAACAUCAAAAAGAGCAGCAGGGAAAAGGUCUCCUCCAAAGUAAUCUGCAAACUAUCAACGUCUUGUUUCCUUAUGAUGCUUGUCAAUUCCCACGGGCCCCUUGCCACCCUAAGCCCCGUACCCCAGUCUUGGUGGGGGAAUAGCAUCUGUUUACGUCCAGAUAGGAUGCGACUGAGCAACUAACGCGCUUUCUUAGGGGCCUGACGGCUCUGAAAGGAAUGAACAGAGAGAAAUCAGCUGAUACUCUUUAGGGGAAUCAGGGAAAAUAUUAUGCAGUUUAAUGUAUUUAAACACAAAUUGUUUGCUCUGACGAGAGGCCCUGGGGAAACUGGAGAGAGCCUGGCGGGUUGAGUGUGGAGUAGAAAAACAGAGAUUCCACCCUCUCGCUUCGUGGAGGUCACGUGGAAAAACUGGAGCUCCAAGCGCCUUUAAACAGGUUAUUUCUUUGGUGCCCAUGAAGCACACGUACUUUUUACCAAAAUAUCCCAUUGCGUCCUCAUGACAGUCACUUCCUGUCUUUCACAGUAGGAGAAACAGAGGCACACAGCAGGCCGGGGACUUGCCCAGGGCUGCAGAGGGCGCUGGGGAACGACGGGAGGAAGUCCCAGGCUCACUG